rnacentral:rRNA from 1 species
GACGAACGCUGGCGGCGUGCUUAACACAUGCAAGUCGAGCGGUAAGGCCCUUUCGGGAGUACACGAGCGGCGAACGGGUGAGUAACACGUGGGUGACCUGCCCUCAGCUCUGGGAUAAGCCUGGGAAACCGGGUCUAAUACUGGAUAUGACUCCAUGACGCAUGUUGUGGGGUGGAAAGCCUUGUGCGGCUGAGGAUGGGCCCGCGGCCUAUCAGCUUGUUGG